rnacentral:rRNA from 1 species
UACAGAGGGUGCGAGCGUUAAUCGGAAUUACUGGGCGUAAAGCGUGCGUAGACGGUUAUUUAAGUCGGGUGUGAAAGCCCCGGGCUCAACCUGGGAAUUGCAUUCGAGACUGAAUAGCUAGGGUACGGUAGAGGGAAGCGGAAUUUCCGGUGUAGCGGUGAAAUACGUAGAGAUUGGGAAGAACACCAGUGGCGAAGGCGGCCCUCUGGACGGUGACGUGACGCUGAGGCGCGAAAGCGUGGGGAGCAAACAGGG